rnacentral:snoRNA from 1 species
GUCCAAGGUGACUUCCUCUCCAAGGGGCCACCUAGUACCCAUCUUGGGAAAGUAGCAACUUGGAAUAAAAUCUGGCAAGUUCAAGGUCUUGAGGAUAGAGAGGAUGUUUUUCCUUCUGCCCUCCUGAAGUAAGGCCAACCAG